rnacentral:rRNA from 1 species
UAAGUUUAACGGCCGCGGUAUUUUGACCGUGCAAAGGUAGCGCAAUCACUUGUCUUUUAAAUGAAGACCCGUAUGAAUGGCAAGACGAGGGCUUAGCUGUCUCCUUUUUCAAGUCAAUGAAAUUGAUCUCCCCGUGCAGAAGCGGGGAUUCUAACAUAAGACGAGAAGACCCUAUGGAGCUUCAGACACCAAGACAGACCACGUCAAAGCCCCCCAAUAAAGGACUGAACUAACUGGGCCCUGUCCUAAUGUCUUUGGUUGGGGCGACCACGGGGAAACACAAAACCCCCGCGUGGAAUGGGGGCACCCUUGCUCCUACAACUGAGAGCUCCCGCUCUAAUAAACAGAACUUCUGACCAACAAGAUCCG